GUUGACCGCUGGCGGUGGGCCUAACACAUGCAAGUCGACCGAAAGCACGUUAAGAGUUUGCCUUUACGGUUGGCGGGGGGCGGACGGGUGAGGAGUACAUCGGAUUCUCCUUUUUCUUGGGGAAUAACGUGGGGAAACUUCCCUUAAUACCGCAUACGACCUACGGUUAAAGCCAGGGGAUCUUGGUCCCUUUCCCGACCGAUUUAGCCGAUGUCGGAUUAGCUAGUUGGCGGGGUAAAGGCCCACCAAGGCGACGAUCCGUAGCUGGUCUGAGAGGAUGAUCAGCCACACUGGAACUGAGACACGGUCCAGACUCCUACGGGAGGCAGCAGUGGGGAAUAUUGGACAAUGGGCGCAAGCCUGAUCCAGCCAUACCGCGUGGGUGAAGAAGGCCUUCGGGUUGUAAAGCCCUUUUGUUGGGAAAGAAAAGCAGCAGGUUAAUACCCCGCUGUUCUGACGGUACCCAAAGAAUAAGCACCGGCUAACUUCGUG
rnacentral:rRNA from 1 species